AUCCAGAUGACGAGUCCCAAAUAGGAUGAAAUGCGUGUCCUGGAU
rfam:Schistosoma haematobium scaffold498_8, whole genome shotgun sequence.